rnacentral:rRNA from 1 species
UACGAAGGGUCCAAGCGUUAUCCGGAUUUAUUGGGUUUAAAGGGUGCGUAGGCGGGUUGUUAAGUCAGGGGUGAAAUCUUGCAGCUUAACUGUAAAAUUGCCAUUGAUACUGACGAUCUUGAGUACACUUGAAGUGGGCGGAAUAUGUCAUGUAGAGGUGAAAUUCUUAGAGAUGACAUAGAACACCGAUUGCGAAGGCAGCUCACUAAAUUGUAACUGACGCUGAGGCACGAAAGCGUGGGGAUCAAACAGG